rnacentral:rRNA from 1 species
UCAACGUGGUAUAAUAUGUUGAAUACACUGAUUCUCGUCCGAUCACCGAAGUUAAACAACGUCAGGCGCGAUUAGUAAUUGGAUGGGUGACCGCCUGGGAACACCGCUUGAACUUGAC